CAUUACACGAUUUCGGUUUACACCGUUUUCAUCCUAUGUUUAUACGUACCACAUGUUUCCUCGGGGGGCUUGCCCCCCGUUAGGACACCCCAUAAACCUUUUUGUAAUAGCAGUUAGCGUCUGAAAAACUAAGUUAAUUAUUAAAACUUUCAACAAUGGAUCUCUUGGUUCUGGCAUCGAUGAAGAACGCAGCGAAAUGCGAUAAGUAGUGUGAAUUGCAGAAUUCAGUGAAUCAUCGAAUCUUUGAACGCACAUUGCGCCCCUUGGUAUUCCAUGGGGCAUGCCUGUUCGAGCGUCAUUUGAACCCUCAAGCUUUGCUUGGUGUUGGGUGUUUGUCCCGCUUUUGCGCGUGGACUCGCCUUAAAGUCAUUGGCAGCCAUGUAAUUCGGCUUUGAGCGCAGCACAUUGCGAUCUCUAUGCUGGUACAUUGGCUUCCAGAAGCCUUUUUUAACGCUUGACCUCGGAUCAGGUAGGGAUACCCGCUGAACUUAAGCAUAUCAAUAAGCGGAGGAA
rnacentral:rRNA from 1 species